AGGCCAUGAUGAGGAAGAGCUCCUGGCGGGCCAGGAUCUCACCUAUACAGGAGCGAGGUCCUGCUCCAAACGGCAAAUAGCUUACUGACGCAAACUCACCGAUGCUGCUCCAGAGUGGAAGAGGAGAAGUGGGUCUGGGACAUCGUACUCCCUUCCUUGCUCAGCCUCAUGCCCCCUCAUUCUUCCGCCGUGAGGAAAGUGCCCUUUACUCCCUCGUUCCCACUCAGUCAUCUUUUCCUCAGCUUCUGCUAGAUCAAAUCUAAAUCCAGCCCUUCUCCAGCCCUUCCCUCCUAACAGGCGCUUAUGUCUGAACACCUGUGUCUGUGGACUUUGGUGUCUGGCAGUGGAUGUGGGUGUGCGUAUGGAGCUGCGGCGCAUGUUAUGUGCGUGCUGCAGCUGGUUGGAGCAUGGAGCUCCCAGCCUUUCAUCCCGCACCACAUGUCUCUGAGGGCAGCAGGAAGCUCCUCUGGGAAGUCAGGCAGAUCUGUGGAUGAGUCAUUGCGUGUCUGUAGGUGGUAGAGACAUGGAGCCACAGGGCUGGGGGCUGGAUGAUUUUUAUUUUAUUUAAUUAAUUAAUUAUUUAUUUAUUUUGAGACAGAGUCUCGCUCUGUCACCCAGGCUGGAGUGCAAUGGUGCGAUCUUGGCUCACUGCAACCUCUGCCUCCUUGGUUCAAGUGAUUCUCCUGCCUCAGCCUCCUGAGUAGCUGGGACUAUAGGCACGCGCCACCACCCAUGGCUAAUUUUUGUAUUUUUAGUAGAGACAGGGUUUCACCAAUUGGUCAGGCUGGUCUUGAACCCCUGACCUCAUGAUCCACCCGCCUCGGCCUCCCAAAGUGUUGGGAUUACAGGUGUGAGCCACUGUGCCCGGCCGGCAGGAUGAUUUUUAGUAGUUGAUGGUUGACUGACUUUAGGUUGGCUAGCAGGAGCCAGGGGUAGGGGGAGCCAGGUGGGCUGGCAAGCAGUGUUGAAUGCAUCACAGGGCUAGAUGUCGCUGGGAGGGCAGGCGCACCUGGAGUCAACGUUGGCCUUGUGGGGGAUGAGCAUAGGGGCCACGGGCCUGACGCGAAGCACUUCUCGGAUGGUGGCCUCCAGCAGGAGGAGAUGGUUACGGUCACUGAUAGUUGGUGUGCGGCUGAAACCCACAUUCUGGUCAAUCUCCUCAUAGAGCUUCUUCUUCACCUGAAGACCAGAGUAGGUUGGAGGUGACUAGUGUGUGUAAACCCAGGAGAAGCAAGGGCUUAGAGAAGAAUCCAACUGUGACAUUGAGAAGAGCCUGUCCAGUCCCUUCCCAGUAGUGGCUCUGGGGCCCAGGCCCGGCUUCCAGAAGAUGGGGCAGCUCUACUCUGGGGUCAAAGCCAACUACUGCUUGGGUAAGGGGCAGGGCAGGCCUAGUCUUCCUGCACAGAAAGCCUGAGAGAAUUGGCUCUCCCUUUCUCUGGAGCCCAGAGAUUGGGCUGGCUGGGGUCUAGGAUCGAUGAGGGGGAAGCACACCUGAGGAUUGUGCAGCAGGAAGGCCACGAUCCAUUUAACCACAGAGGUGGUGGUCUCCACGCCAGCCCCAAAGAUAUCCCCUAUGGUGGUGAGAAUGUGGUUAUCUGAAAGCAGCUCUGAGUCUUGAUCUGGGCCAGCAUUGCCGUUAUCUGAAUUCAUCUUGGCUUGCAUCAGUAUGUCCAUCAUGUUGGUGAUAGAGUCGCUCCGGAAUUUCUCCUGGGUUGGGUGAGGUUGGAAGACAUUAAUAAGGAAGGAGCCCCAUCUGUGACACUCCUGCCAUACUUCUGUCCCUGACUAGAGAUAACAAGGCUCCUUCCACUUGGAAGUAGAGCAAGUCUGGGCAGGACCUACAAACUUGUGGAGGUAGGAGGCAGCCCUGGGCCCUCUUUAAAUUUGGUGGAGAGGUUAGGUCUCUUCUAGGAUCCUUUUCAAUUCCUCACUUUUCGAUCCCAACUCCUUAAGUCAGUUUUUUUUUUUUUUGAGACAGAAUCUUGGUGCAAUGCCCAGGCUGGAGUGCAAUGGCAUGAUCUCAGCUCACUGUAACCUCUGCUUCUCGGGUUCAAGCGAUUCUCCUGUCUCAGCCUCCCGAGCAGGUGGGACUACAGCUGCCAGAGUCUCUCCUAGAGGUGGAUCUUAGCUUUCUGUCUCUGGAAGUUCCUACUCCACCCCUGAUCUUCAGCCAGAAUGGAAGGCAAGAUGGGGACACAGAACGGGUUUAUCAUGACAACGAAGACAAUUCUAAACAGGGGAGGAGGGCGUGGUCUCCACCUCUCCUUCUCCAUUCAAUCAAACAUCAAGCGCUGACUCUGCUAUGUGUCCAGCCUUUAGGAGUGAGAGAGACGUGAGCCUGAAGCCUCAGACAAGCUCCUUAACCCCGCUAAGCCUGCUUCUCACCUGCACAGUGGGGAUAAUAAAACCUACUUCCAAGGGAAAUUCAGUGAUGGAUGCUUAUAGAAUGCUUAGUACUGGCACAUGGUCAUUGGAAAAGAAAUGAAGGCCAUUAUCUGGAGUACUAAGCAGUUCCUGUGGGAUCCAGCCCCACCCCCAGGGGCCAGCCUAGCACUCACUGAUCUUCUCCAGCUUCUGAUCGCCAUCCUUGAACAGGGCAAAGGUGGCCAUUGCCAGCCUUC